rnacentral:rRNA from 1 species
GAUGAACGCUGGCGGCGUGCCUAAUACAUGCAAGUCGAGCGAACGGACGAGAAGCUUGCUUUUCUGAUGUUAGCGGCGGACGGGUGAGUAACACGUGGAUAACCUACCUAUAAGACUGGGAUAACUUCGGGAAACCGGAGCUAAUACCGGAUAAUAUUUUGAACCGCAUGGUUCAAAAGUGAAAGACGGUCUUGCUGUCACUUAUAGAUGGAUCCGCGCUGCAUUAGCUAGUUGGUAAGGUAACGGCUUACCAAGGCAACGAUGCAUAGCCGACCUGAGAGGGUGGUCGGCCACACUGGAACUGAGACACGGUCCAGACUCCUACGGGAGGCAGCAGUAGGGAAUCUUCCGCAAUGGGCGAAAGCCUGACGGAGCACCGCCGCGUGAGUGAUGAAGGUCUUCGGAUCGUAAAACUCUGUUAUUAGGGAAGAACAUAUGUGUAAGUAACUGUGCACAUCUUGACGGUACCUAAUCAGAAAGCCACGGCUAACUACGUG